rnacentral:rRNA from 1 species
CAGAUAAGGAGCUUGCUCCUUUGACGUUAGCGGCGGACGGGUGAGUAACACGUGGAUAACCUACCUAUAAGACUGGGAUAACUUCGGGAAACCGGAGCUAAUACCGGAUAAGAUUUUGAACCGCAUGGUUCAAUAGUGAAAGACGGUCUUGCUGUCACUUAUAGAUGGAUCCGCGCCGUAUUAGCUAGUUGGUAAGGUAACGGCUUACCAAGGCAACGAUACGUAGCCGACCUGAGAGGGUGAUCGGCCACACUGGAACUGAGACACGGUCCAGACUCCUACGGGAGGCAGCAGUAGGGAAUCUUCCGCAAUGGGCGAAAGCCUGACGGAGCAACGCCGCGUGAGUGAUGAAGGUCUUCGGAUCGUAAAACUCUGUUAUCAGGGAAGAACAAACGUGUAAGUAACUGUGCACGUCUUGACGGUACCUGAUCAGAAAGCCACGGCUAACUACGUGCCAGCAGCCGCGGUAAUACGUAGGUGGCAAGCGUUAUCCGGAAUUAUUGGGCGUAAAGCGCGCGUAGGCGGUUUUUUAAGUCUGAUGUGAAAGCCCACGGCUCAACCGUGGAGGGUCAUUGGAAACUGGAAAACUUGAGUGCAGAAGAGGAAAGUGGAAUUCCAUGUGUAGCGGUGAAAUGCGCAGAGAUAUGGAGGAACACCAGUGGCG